UACUGGUCCCUCCAUUCCCAAAUAAGUGCAGUUUAUUUGAAAAAAGAUUAUGAUUAGUAUUUUUAUUGUUAUUAGAUGAUAAAACAUAAAUAGUACUCUAUGUGUAACUAAUUUUUAUAAUAUUUUUCAUAAAUUUUUCAAAUAAGGCAGAUGGUCAAAACGCUGAACACGGAUAUAUAUGGCUACACUUAUU
rnacentral:pre_miRNA from 1 species